rnacentral:rRNA from 1 species
UACGAAGGGGGCUAGCGUUGCUCGGAAUUACUGGGCGUAAAGCGCACGUAGGCGGCUUUCUAAGUCGGAGGUGAAAUCCUGGAGCUCAACUCCAGAACUGCCUUCGAUACUGGAGAGCUUGAGUCCGGGAGAGGUGAGUGGAACUGCGAGUGUGGAGGUGAAAUUCGUAGAUAUUCGCAAGAACACCAGUGGCGAAGGCGGCUCACUGGCCCGGUACUGACGCUGAGGUGCGAAAGCGUGGGGAGCGAACAGG